UACGUAGGGUGCGAGCGUUAAUCGGAAUUACUGGGCGUAAAGCGUGCGCAGGCGGUUUUGUAAGUCAGAUGUGAAAGCCCCGGGCUUAACCUGGGAAUGGCAUUUGGGACUGCAAGGCUUGAGUGCGGCAGAGGAGACUGGAAUUCCUGGUGUAGCAAUGAAAUGCGUAGAUAUCAGGAGGAAUACCGAUGGCGAAGGCAGGUCUCUGGGCUGACACUGACGCUCAUGCACGAAAGCGUGGGGAGCAAACAGG
rnacentral:rRNA from 1 species